CCCAAUGAUGGAAAUUUAAUGGCCGCGGUAUAUUGACCGUGCGAAGGUAACAUAAUAAUUUGUCUUUUAAUUGAGGACUAGUAUAAAUGGUCGAACAAAAAGUUAGCUGUCUCUGAGUUAUGUCUUGAAUUUAACAUUUAAGUGAAAAGGCUUAAAUAAUUUAAGGGGACGAUAAGACCCUAUAAAUCUUUAUAUUAAUUUGUUGUUAAAUUGGAAAGUAGAAUUAAUUCCGGGUUUAAUAAUUUUGAAUAUUUUGUUGGGGAGACAGAAGUGUAAAUAAAUAACUACUUUAAAAANAAAGUUAAUGAUAUUUAAUGAGGAGAUCCUUUACUAAGGAUUGUAGAANAAGUUACUUUAGGGAUAACAGCGUAAUUUCUUUUGAGAGUCCAUAUCGAAAAGGAAGCUUGCGACCUCGAUGUUGAAUUAAAGAUCCUAUAAUGGCGCAGAAGUUAUAAAA
rnacentral:rRNA from 1 species